AUGGCAGUAUCAUUCGAACUGCACCCUUUCAUUGAAACCAUUUAAUUUGUUACGCCUGUAUCCAUUGCGGAACGGGACGGAGGG
rfam:Gracilibacter sp. BRH_c7a BRHa_1006243, whole genome shotgun sequence.